rnacentral:lncRNA from 1 species
AGUUACCAUGCCUGCGAAGCCCAGCCAAGAUCCUUGCAGUGAUUGCCCUCCGACGCCUCUCUCUAAGCUUCGUUCUCUCUUUCUCUUCUAGUGGCCUACAUCUUCGAGUACCUCCACCUGGGGUGCCCACUUGAUCUUCAAAAUGCUGGUGUUGUUGAAACCUGUGGUCACCGUCAACACUUACUAUCCCAUUCCUACCAUCCAUCUCUACCAUCCCCGAUGCAAUUCCAUGCUCACCUCUAUUUUCUUCUUCCUCAUAAUCAUCAUCAUCAUCCGCUUCUUUUACAUCCAUUUCCAUUUCUUCUUCAUCAU